AUCCGUUUGUAGUCCAUAAGUAUGAUGAUUGGGUUUUCAUACUUUUGUAUGAGAUGUGCCUCCCACUAAACCUUGUCACAACUUUGGCACAUUAUCCAUCUGAUG